AAAAAAAGAGAGAGAUAAUUGAAAACAAAGAAAGUCUUAAAGGAGGGAACCGAAAUUUUCAUUCCCUCUGUUAUCUCCCUCAAAUAUUUUCCCCUUUUUAUUUCAGUCAAAAACAAAAACUAUCAUACUUCUAUCUCUCGCAGCCCCAUGUCUAUCAUCGCCGCCGUAGAUACUCUCAUCGCCUCCCUGCUCUUCAUCGUAGGUUUCACUGCUCUCUUUCGCUCUUUCUCUCCCUCUACAUCUCUCUCUCUCUCUGUGUAUGUGUGUUAGUCGCAAUUUGGAUGUGGAUUCUUCAACUGUUAAUUGAUUUUUGUCUUCAAUUUCUGGAUUUAUGUUAAUUUUUUGAUAUUUUGAUUACUAUGAUUUAGGAUUUUGAGUUUAUGUGUUCAAUUUAUGUAUUCUUCAUUUUAGGGUUUGAUUCAUGGGUUCUUUCUGGUUAAUCUUUUUAGUUAGGUUUUUGAGUUCAAUUGAAUUUAGUACCACCAUACAUAACACAUGAACCUCAACUCUCCCAUUAUAUAUUAAACAUCACUUGUGCUGUGAGAUGUUGUCUUCAAUUUCUCUUAAAUUGUUUUAUUUUAAGAGUUAAGACUAAGAUAUUUGCUAAUCUAAAAAUGCAGAAUGUAAAAUUUUUAUACUUGAACUGUUGAGUAUAAUUUACGUCUUACUUUCAGAAUGAAAUUUUGACUAAGAUAUACAAGACCUGUAUUAGAUGGUAUACAAUAAGAAAGAUUAUGACAAAAAUGCAGAAUGUGAAAACAAAGUCCAUGUAGACCCUUGAAACCUCCAAUUUAAAAAUGACAUACAACUAUAAAGAAAAGGGUUGGAGCAUAUAUGUUCACUUAAAGCCAAGGGACUUUCAUGAACAUAACUUAGGUUCAGCCACCACAUAUCAGUCCUAGUGUUUCCUUGUUUAAUUGCUGAUUUUUUUUUUUAUAGCAAAUCCAUGACCUGGAAUGCCAUAUCAGUCAUUUUUUAGAUUGAUCUGUCAUGUAUGUCACUUUUUAGUUUAUGAGUAUUUUAUUUGAUUGGUUUUGAUUCUAUUUUUGAGCAGUUUAUCCAAGGUUAAGUUAAUGUUCGAGCCUCAAAAGCUACCAAUAGAAGAAAAAAGAGUUCACAUAUCCCUUGCUUAGCUACAAGUAAUUGGUAACUUAUUGCAAGAGUGAUUGUUUAUACUUCGGUUACCAUGUCAUUCAAAAUAGUUUUACAAUUUUAAUUUCGGCUUUGGCUCAACAAUCAACAUGUAUAUGAUUUUGUUGUUGUGCUUGAUAUUCCACUUGAUUUUAGAAGAGCAAAUGUAAUUGAGUCAUAGUAACUUAUCAAUGAUGUGUUAUUAUGGUUGUGUUCACUUGAAUUUUAAUGGAUUACAUUUAGCCUUUUUUUUUUUGGGGUAUAUGUUGUCUACAAGAAAUUAUGUUUAGUAUGUGUAUCUAAUGCUAUAUUAUGGUUAUAUUUCUUUUAUUAGUUUCUUGGUUCUGUUCUAAGUUAGUUNNNNNNNNNNNNNNNNNNNNNNNNNNNNNNNNNNNNNNNNNNNNNNNNNNNNNNNNNAUUAGUUUACAUGAUUUAUGUUUGAAAUUACAUAGAAUUAUAUCCAUAUAUGUUUGAAAUUGCAUCUUAUUGUAAUUUUUCUGAUACUUUCAGCUUCGAACCCGAAUCUACAGUGAGGGGUGCUAUUACGAAAAUCUUCAAAGAAAAUUUUCAAGGUGCAUGGUCAUGUUGGAGUGCUGUUGAUUCGACCACACGAGAUUUUUGGUUUGAAGACUUUAAGGUCAUUUUAUUAAGUAAUUGAGGUGUGUUGGUUGUGUUUCAUUAUGGGAUCCAAUUGAUAAUCUUGUUUAUUUUUUCAUUGAGGAUUUCUUAUAUAUAUAUAUAUAGGCUAUGCUUGUCAUAUUACAGAUUGUGUUUAUAUGCUAUUAAAUUUAUCGUUGUUUCUAUUGGAGUGUAGAUUUGUAUAUAUGCUAUUAAAAUUGUAUACAGGCUAUGCUUAUCAUAUUACAGAUUGUGUUUGCAACUUUUACACUACUAUUUGUAUUGUUUGUUUGUAGGCCAAAUACAAAUGGCUUGAAAAGGAUGAAGCUAGCAUUGAAAAAGCUUUAAUAGUAGGGGAACAUUGGCCCUGAAAAUUGCUUUGUUCAAGGUUUGUAGUGGUAAAGAUAAAGGUGAAUGGAUUGAUGAAGAUAAGUUAAAAGAAUUAAGGGAUCAAUGGAACGGUGAAACUUGGCAAAUGGAUUGAUGGAUUGAUGGAUGAUGAAGAUGAUGUGUUGGAUGAUGAAGCUUAGCUUUAGUUACUUUCUUUUAUGUAUUUUUGUUAAAUCAAUUAUAUGAAUUUUUGUGUCUUUGACAAUUUUAGGUUUGAUAUUAUAUUUAGNNN
rnacentral:lncRNA from 1 species